AAUAAUAAUAAAGAACUUUUUUUUUUUUACCUGAUUGCAAUCCGGCCAACCUUGUACCACAUCGAAAAUUUACAAUAUGGUUCUGCACUAUUUAAAUAGGAAGAUGAACUUCAAAAGUCACGACCUUACUUGAACAGGAUCUGUUCUAUAGGUUGUACAUCUGUGUCCUUGAGUUCUAAGGAGACAAGAACCAAAGUCUGGUGGAUGAUCUGCUGCCUUGAGGCUAGAGCGUGAUUAACGGUUCAACAGGCCAUGGUCUGGCGGCUGUAGAGGAUCGUUCUUGGCAGGCUACCACCUGCCGAGAUGGCCCCAAGGCGGUCUGACAGACUUCAAUUAAAUUUUUUUGGCCUCUUUCGAUUUAUUCUUCUGCUUGGGGCUAUUUUUUUUUUCUUGUUUUAGUUUCCUGUGUUUCUUAGAUGCGGUUUGAAUUUCUGUUAUUGGAUAUGGUGCUUUUGUGUGAAGAGAUUUGAAAAUGAGGUUAUGCUGACAAGGUGUUUGAUGAUAUGUCUGGAAAAUUUGAGGUUAAUUCUUAAAGAUGUUUUCUCUAGUUUCUUGCGUUCCUUGAAUGGUGGUUUGGAUUGCUGCUGCUUUUGGGUGGGUAUUUGGUGUUUGCUCUUGAAGUGUUUAAUGAAAUGUCUCCAAAACAAAUUCUUGAAUUGCUUUUGUUCUCAUAGACUUCCAGUUUGAAUAACAUAAUUUAUCUUAGUGCAUCUUCAUUGAAAUCUUGUUUAAUAGUUCAGAACAAUGAUUUUUGUUAAUCUUGUGUUAGACCUCCUACUAAGUUCCAUUACAGCCGGAGAAAUAAAACUCACGUGUAAUACAUGUGAGUUGGAAAUUCGGUUAACAAGAAGUAUAAAUAACAGUUUGGUUAGGCGGGAAAAUUAGUUAGAGUUUUUGUAUUGAAGUUAGAUCGUUGAUUCUUGAGAGGAGAACAACAAGUGUCUGUAAAUCGCCGGAAUGAAGAAAGAGCUGAGCAAAAUGCCCGUGAUCGAAACGAGUUUGAGCGAUAUCGUGAAGAAUCUCGAAAUAAAGCUACAGUCGGAGAAGCAGCAACAAAUGCUUUUGUUAAUGAUGGAGACGAUGGCGAAAGAGCGAUCGAUCACAAGCGAUCGAAUGACUAAACUAGCUGCGUGGACUCUGCUUUGAUCGAAUGAAAUAAAGAGGAAAUUCUUCUUUGUUCUUUUUCAUAAUUAGAGUGUCACGGACUCUGCUUCUUGUAUUAAGCUUAUGGUCCAUCUCUACUAAUUUUGGAGUGGCUUUCCGUACUUUAGGCCUGCUGCAGGAGGCAUAGGAGUUGUUAAGUUUUCGAGUUCGGAGCAUGAAUACAAGACUUUGGGGGGUAUUUCCAAACAUCUCGAGCCUUUGGAACAACAUCCCUUGAGGGUCUAUUGUGAUCUGUUUUCAAACUCUAUUUUCAUAUAACUUCGUCCUGGAGGAAUAUAGAAUGAUCCCAGAUUAACUUUUUAAAACUUUAUAAUUUCUGCAAAUUUUGCGGAUGGUUUCAAGAUCCUCUCUUCACAAUAAACCUUACAGCUUUUACGAAAAUAACUAAACAUCUGAGUCGUUACACUAGUUGAUUGGGUAUUAGUAUUAAUUUUGACUUGAGAUCAUCUCCGAUGGCACUUAAAACACUCUUAAGCCAAUAGAACCUUCUUCUGCCCUGCACCCAGAAGGACUGUUGGGUUAAUAAAUAUUUACUCUGACCCACUUACAGCGUUAUAAUUUAGAAAUUGGUAGAAUUCCUCAAAAUUUUUUUUGCUAUUAUAUAAUUAUGUGAGUACAUCUCUACAAAAUGAUUUUUCUUGACUAGUACAAAAUGUUAGCCAGAUCUUUGAGGUAUGGAUUCACAACCAUAAGCCUUUCACUAGCCAUCACCAUGAUAUGUGCUUUGUAUAGUAUUCUUUUGAAUUGAUUGAGUUGAUUGAGUAGUAGAUUACAUAUCGACACAUCUCAUUUAUUUUUACUUUUAAAGUUGCCAAGACACAAAGCAGAGUUUAGUCAUCUCUGUAUUAAAAAUUCCUUCCCAUCUUUUUGCCGAGACCUUUUCAAUGUCUUUGGUUGCAUAUUGGAACCAGCAACAGUAAGUGGUUCUCUUAAAUCUCUAGAAUUAAUCCCUUGCUUUUUACUGGCAAAUUCCAACAAGAUAAGUUCAGGUUUACUACAUCUGUAACUAUUUAUGCAAGCAAAUAAAGCCCCAUCUAAAAUAACAGUAUAUCUCAAGGGAACCAUGUAAGAGUCAUAUUCCUUGGCAAGUUUGCGUAACUCAAUUAAGUUGUGGAUCUUGAACUUAAUCAUGUUUUAGAGAUUUAUCUUUUCAAAUCCUACAUGUUUAUUUAUUAAUUUUAACUUUGCUUGUUUAUGCAGCUUUCAACUCAAUAUUACAUGGCAUCGUUGUACACCAUCACAACAGGGAUUCUGUUUACGCAGACCAUAUAUUAUGGGCACAUAUAUCCUUAAAUGAAGUAUCCGCGAAGACAGUGCAAGGCACAGGAAGUCAACAAUGAUGAUGACAUGAGCAAGUUCAAUACUUCAAAAAGAGAAAGUGCUUCCACUAGUCCUAUUCCUCCGCAAAUGCUUCGGCAAAAUAGUUCCACGGGUCGGGAACUAUAUUACAUAUGAAAAGGGGCCAUGUUGAGGUAAAGAUAAUUAUUUUGCAAUUAACUUAGUAUGGACUUCGUCAUUUGGACUUCCGCGUCAUCCUUCACAAUUUUAAAUGAGUUUCUUGCUGUUAUUUAGAGGACGAUUUAUAAUGCAGCAGCCGGGAAUUGAAUUCACUAAAAAAUUUCAAUUACUGUGCAGGGUCUUAGUCCGUUGAAUAUUUUGCCCAUCCUUCAACUCUUGUUUUCUUGCUUUUUAGCUUAUAUUUAUUGGACGUUCCUUUGACAAUCAUAGAGUGUGUGAACGUCAAUCAUAAGUUUUUGUAGCCUAUUUUCUAUUUUUAAGAUCUUGGAAUCUAUUCAUAAUAAUUUGCUUACUUUUAUCAA